rnacentral:rRNA from 1 species
AUGUUGCGUACCGUGAGGGUCCAACGUGGCAAGAAUUGGAGCAAGUUUGGUGCUACUGAAAAGAAUCUUCGUCUGGCACUGAAUAGAAUUGCUCGUCUCAAGGCCACUAGGCCGACCAUAGAAAUGGUUGGCACUGACUUCCUUCGGGGAUGCAUCACGCCGGUGCAAAAGAGUCAGAGGCCUACUUGGGACUACAAGGGGGUUGGCGAUGUAAUGUGGCUGUACCCUGGACUCAGCAACAACUUGACGAUUAUGGAGCACGCCUGCCUCUACAAGCAGUUGUUCCGAAGGACCGACACAUUCCAUUUGCCGGACAGGAUCAUACCACUGCAUAUCAACUCUGCCAGAACCUCCAUUUUGGUGAACAUGCCGGAGUGUGACGCUAAUGGUGUCAAAGGAGAUUCGAAGUUGCCCUCUCUGGAGAUUGAGAUAGACUCCCGGAAAGAGAUAGAUCUCAAUCGGGCCACCAAGGAGGAAGAGCUGACGUACAUCACUAGCAAGGUUGAGGAGGCCGCAAGAAUUAAGUCUGCCGACGGUUCUAGUGCCAUGUCAGGCGAAAUGAUGAAGAAGAGCAUUCUGAUGAGGAAUCUGUCGAGGAGCAGGAGGAGGAGUCCGUCGGGAUGA